GAAAUGCGAUAAGUAAUGUGAAUUGCAGAAUUCAGUGAAUCAUCGAAUCUUUGAACGCACAUUGCGCCCGCCAGUAUUCUGGCGGGCAUGCCUGUUCGAGCGUCAUUUCAACCAUCAAGCCCCCGGCUUGUGUUGGGGACCUGCGGCUGCCCGCAGGCCCUGAAAAACAGUGGCGGGCUCGCUGUCACACCGAGCGUAGUAGCAUACAUUCCCCCUCAGGGCGUGCUGCGGGUUCCGGCCGUUAAACGACCUUCAUAACCCAAGGUUGACCUCGGAUCAGGUAGGAAGACCCGCUGAACUUAAGC
rnacentral:misc_RNA from 1 species